UUCGUUGUGCUAAAGGAUCUAAAGUGGUAAAAAGAGACGUUCUUUCCAAGCAGUCUUCACUGUAUUAGGAAACCAAUAUAUGCCCUUGUCCAGUGCUCAGCGGUGGUGCUCCAUUGUUUUCUGUCAUUCUGUGGUAAUUUAUGCAAAUAUGCCCAGGGCUUCAUGCCAAGCUUGAUACGAGACCAACCAACACAGUGAACUAACGCACGCACGCACACACGCACACACGCACACUGGCACACAUGCACACAGGACACGAAGAUGUAAACUAUUUAGCAAACAUUUGCAUAAACAUGGCUGUGUGGGUGUGCUUUGGCAUAAUGAAAAGCAGUGUAAAUGUUUGCACACCAACAAAAGUGAGCCGCUGAUGGCGGCAAAGAGUUGAGUUAUUCUACAAUCACAAUAAACAAUGUGAAAAAAUGUAUAUAAUUUUUAUGACGCCGUGUGCGGUUGCACGUACACAUUUGUAUUCUUUAUAGGGCCGCUCCUGUCAAGUCCAAUAAAUUUAAUAACGCAUGCUAAAAAACCCUAAGCAGACGCGCACACGGCGAAAGAAAAAUAAAAAGCUGAAUUUCAGCUCGGCGACUGCAAAUGGUUAAAGUACAAGUUAAAUAGGGUGCAGCAUGGGAUGGCGCUGGCAAAACAUAAACAUUUUCCAUUCAACUUAAAAUUGUUUACAAAAUAAUGUGAAAAUGGCUGCCAAGCAUGUGUUGCCUGUCGUUCCCAUCCCGCUCCCACUCCCGCUUCCCCUCUAUCUUUCCCCUCCUGCACCCUAACUACCCCGCCCAUUAUCCCUGUGUGUGAGUGCGUAUGUGUGUUUAUGUCAAAACGACGAUAAAUGUUGCUAAACAGGAGCAAGAAUAUCAAAAACAGCAGCGGUGUUUGUGUGCAAGGGAAUCCAUGCCAAAGCUAUGGAUGCUGCUUAUGCACUGCAAAAAAAAUAGCGACAAAAAUGCAGUAACAUGCAAACAACAGGAGAAAGUUAUUACCUUGAAUAGUUUUGUAAAUAAACCAAAUAUUUUUAUAUUUUUUAAUGUAAAAAUCCUGCACCUUCGAUCAUUUGAGUGUUCUUAUUUCAAAGGCUAAUCUACAUAUAAGGAUAUCUACAUAUAAUCUAUUUUUUCGAGUGUUGCAUUUAGCUACUGCCAUUUGCCGCUGCUGGCGUACGCCAUAAGUUCAAUGCUUUUUAAAUACCGAACAAAAAUCCAAUCAUAUCCAAUGCGACCUUUGCAUUAUGCAACGUUACGCAUACGCCACGUUGGCCUGCUGCACAAAAUGGGGCAGUUCAGCGAACGAAGAGCGGAAAAACGGGUCGCCAUAUCGCGUCGCACUGUGGAAUUUUAUGGCCUGUUAAAGGCAACAUUUUUAUACAUUUCACGCGCUCACAUAAAUAACGAUUAUGCUGCACAGCCAGCGGAGCCGAAGGUUUAUGACUUUUCGCCCAAGAGAAUUGGCUUGCCCUCGACUUGCCUAAAUGGCUUCAUUUUGCGGGAAAAAUGUCAAUUGACAGCUGCUGAAAAUAGACGAGUCUAAUUUAUGUGCCUGCAGGAAGAAAGCGCGCGCGAGUGGAAAGCGGAAUGAAAAUGGAAAAGUUUCAUAUGUGAGAUGCUCUGCGGAAAAGUUUCCGGUAAAUUAAGCCAAAGUGUUGUGGUCCACAGCCAGCAGACACCGCAUCCAAGUCACUGGCAAAGUUUGGGUUGAAUUGCUACCAAAUUUGAAGACAAAACAGUCGGAACAACAGACUCCACUCCAGCUAGUGCUGCUUGCCUCAAAUUGUCGCUGGCAGCUGUGGUCGUGUUGCCAAAUUGGCAACAAGGCUACGUCAGCGGAAAUGCAGACACGCACUCGAGGUCGUAGGGCUGCAAUGUGCAGUAGUAGUGGUGUUAGUAGUAGUGGUGGCUGCUGUAAUCAACACCCAUGGUGCCGCACACACACACACCCAUACUCCGAUAAAACCUCAAAGUUGCAAUAUAGUGAAAAGUCAAUUGCAUUUUGAUGUCGGCAGCAGGAACCAGAAUGCCAAGAGCAGCAGCAGCAACAGCAGCAGCCGGAGCAGAAGCCACAAUGCAUUUACAUGGCAAGUUGCGCCGUAUAAUGAAACAAUAUUAAAUUAUUUAUCAAAAUAAUGGUUUCAAGCUGAGAAUGCCUUGACAGCCAACAGGCAGGCGAGUCAAUCAGGACCGGAGGUGGCAAGCGUUCUAACCGAAUUAAGCCUUUGAAGUGCUCCUCUUACCACACCUAUUCGUUAUUGUUAUGGAACCGAGAAUAAUCGAAAUGCAAAUAAGCGUAAAAUAAUGCAUAUAACAUUAGAGUUUAAUUUCCCGCUCAUGCAUAAUGUGUUGGUUAGCUAAACUUUCAUGGCACCGCCAUUUCAAAUUGUCCAUGUUCUGGCUUUGUUUGAGGACAAAUGUUUAUAAUUAGCAUCGAUUAAGGUGUCAAUAAUUCGUUUCAUUAAAUAUUAUACAUUGGACACCAGCUAUCAGCUCCAAGCUCCCCCGAAAACUUUUGUUGGCGUUAUUGUUUUAAUGGCCAAAAUAAAUAAAUAUCGAUUAUAGCUGUGCAGGUGAGCAAGAGUAAGCAACGUUUUGGCCGCUUUCAACAGCAAAUGGCCCCCAUGGCGCUGAGCUGUCAGCUAGCGUGUUUAAAAAGUUUGCCCUGCCGUUCGGACUGGAGCAACUCCCCGGGCUGAUCUGGAGCUAAAUCGAAGCUGCAAAAGGUCGGUGGGUCGGGGGGGUUUUGGUCAUGAUAAGACUAAUGCUGGCCGCAUGGCUAAUUGAAAAAGUUGCACUUCCAUUGUUGUUGUUGUUUCGUGCGCAGCCAGUGGAAAACGAGAAAUUGCUGCUGCCACAGAAAAUCCAUAUAAAACCAAAAAAACAAAAAAAAAAUAAAGGGAAGAUAUUGUUAUUACUGUUGGGUCCUGGAAAUGAGAACGCAAUUGUGGUCAAGUUUUGUGAGGCAUUUGCAUAAUAAGCCCUGUGUAUGGAACUGUGACUGCGCCUCUGACUGUUCCUGCUAUGGUUAUUGUUACAGAGUCACUGGCCAGCGGCGCAUGAAAUUGUUGUCUGCCUCAGGUUUGGGGCUCAAAAAAUUAGAAGAGUCUGCUAGGAUGGAAGAGGAUGUGGCAUGGGUAUAUUGACCCAGGACCUGAGUCCGAAGCCCGGCCAAAACGGAAAGCAUAAAUUCUCGUACGAUAUGAAAACAGCCAGCAAGCAUCCGCACAUAAAUAAAUCAUAAAUAUUAAAUGAAAAUGAAAAAUGGCCAGGAGGAGCAGCAGCAGGAACUGCAGGAAGCGCACAGAACCUGUCAGCAAGUGCCUUUCCCUGGCCGUGGAAUAUAAUGCAGGAUCCAACAAUGCACCGGCGAUCGCAUGAUUAGCGGCAGUCCAGGCUCAGAGCUCCAAGCCAAAGCCAGUCCAUGACUCACCACCAAGUGCAGACCAGACCCAGCAGAACCCAGCCAAAACAGACCAGACCAGACCAGAUAGGAAGGCAUGUGCUGUGGCCUCCGGCAACGCACGAUAUUCUCACAAUGCAGAAAAUUACUAAAUUCGAUAUGCAAUUUAUAAAGUCGGAACAGGCGCCCCACACUCCCAUUGCCCGAACGCCCGCAAAGUGGGCGCCUGGGCUCCAGCUUUGGCUCCACCGGUCUCUCUGGUUCCUCCCUGACCUCCCUGGUCUGUAGUCUCCAGCGUUGUCUGGCUUUUUUGGCAUCGCAGCUGAAAACGAUUUGGUUUUUCGGAUAUCGCAACUUAUAAACUUGGCCAGCCCAGAAGGAAAAUCCCCUUAUAUUUUCCAAAUUUCUGUCGUACUCUGCCUCCUGAUUGCAUCGCCAGCAGUCUCCAAUUUCUGAUUUCCAUUUGACCCCAUAAUAAGGGCCACUUAGGCACUUGAUUACUGGCAAUCAAAGACCUGGAAAUGUUCUGAGCUGGCCAAAUCAAGUUUCUAUUAAAUUCACUUUUGCUUAA
rnacentral:sRNA from 1 species